GCAGCCGUGGCCCACUGGUUAGCGCUUCGGACUUGUAACCGGAGGGUUGCCAGUUCGAAUCCCGAGCCACGGCUGCU
rnacentral:tRNA from 1 species